CCAACGGCUCUUUUCAGAGCCACCACAACUUCAAGAAAGAACCAAU
rfam:Strongylocentrotus purpuratus Contig492_fixed, whole genome shotgun sequence.